GGGAGAAAGUCAAAUGCCAUAUGAUCUCACUCAUACAUAGAAGAGGUCCAGGAGAUCAGACGGAGCCAACAGAAGAGAUGGGGAAGUGUCCAGUAAAGUAGGAAGAAACUGAGAGAGGAUGAACUGAACCCCAAGUGAAGAGAGUACUUCAAGGAAAAAGGAGUACUCAGCAGUAUCACGUGUUAUUGGCUAUGAGACUUGGCAGCAUAGAAGGCCCUCGUGACCCUGAGGAGAUGGUUUCAUUGAAGCAGUGGGGACAAAAGCCUGAGAGCAGUGAGUUGUGAGAGAAUGGAGGUGAGGAAGUGAAGACAGCAAAUAACUGUUUCUGUUUUGAAGAAGUUUUGCAGUAAAGAAUGGCUGUAACAGAGGAGAACUCGGCUGGAGAGAAGGUUGUUAACAGGAGACACAGCACGCAUUUUUGCACCGAUGGGAAUGAUCUCUCAAGCAGGAUGCAGGUCAGUUAAAGACAGAGGACAAGGAGAAGAAGAGAGGAGGAGGAAGAGGAGGAGAGAGAUGAAGAAGGGGGAAGAAGAGAAAGAAAAAAGGGGAAAAAAAGAAAGGAAAGUGGAAAUGGAGGAAAGAAGAGGGAAAAGCUGAGAAGGAUAAGAAAGAAGACUUGCUGGGAAGAAUUCAGAUCUGAC
rnacentral:lncRNA from 1 species